rnacentral:misc_RNA from 1 species
AACAAGGCGUACCUGCGGACCUGCGGAGGGAUCAUUACCGAGUUAUACAACUCAUCAACCCUGUGAACAUACCUAUAACGUUGCCUCGGCGGGAACAGACGGCCCCGUAACACGGGCCGCCCCCGCCAGAGGACCCCCUAACUCUGUUUCUAUAAUGUUUCUUCUGAGUAAACAAGCAAAUAAAUUAAAACUUUUAACAAUGGAUCU